GGAGGCGUAGCGCAGCCUGGCAGCGCGUCAGCUUUGGGAGCUGAAGGUCGUGGCCCCGCCUUCA
rnacentral:tRNA from 2 species